CAGUAUCAGUGUACUAUUAAAAUGGGUCU
rnacentral:piRNA from 1 species